rnacentral:rRNA from 1 species
UACGUAGGGUCCGAGCGUUUGUCCGGAAUUACUGGGCGUAAAGAGCUCGUAGGUGGUUUGUCGCGUUGUUCGUGAAAACUCACAGCUCAACUGUGGGCGUGCGGGCGAUACGGGCAGACUUGAGUACUGCAGGGGGAGACUGGAAUUCCUGGUGUAGCGGUGGAAUGCGCAGAUAUCAGGAGGAACAUCCGUGGCGAAGGCGGCUCUCUGGGACGGUACUGACGCUGAGACGCGAAAGCGUGGGGGAGCGAACAGG